UUCAGGUUUCAUCCAAUCAUCCCCUUCUGACAUUAUGAAAUAAAUCUCCGAGGCAGGUAGGCACGGCAGCAGUUUUGAUUGAAGGAAGGAGUUUGGGGGCAGGUGGGAAGAGGGCAGAAGCAGCAGGAAAAUGAAAGUAAUAUUUACUGAGCAUUUGUUUGGAGCAUUUAAAUAUCGAAGGAAGGAGAUCUCAGCAUACUAAGUCAUAAGUACUCACAACAAGCCUGUGAGGACAAUGUUGUUAUUCCUGUCACACAAAUAAAGAUACUGGGACUUAAAGAAUUUAACUAUUUUGUCUCAGGUCAGACUAUCAAUAGGAAACAGAACCAGGACUAGAAUCCACACUUUGGAAUUGGCCCCAAAGCCCAUUGCUCUAUGAGGUCAUAAUUCCUGAGACUACUAGAUGACUACUUUUUAACCUUCCCAGAUGAUCCCUUGUGUCUAGAAACCCCCAGCUGAACUUUAAGGAGGCUGAACCCCGCCUCCGCUGGGCUUCACUUUAGAACAUCCUUGCUUUCUGGCUCCACAAAGCCCAAGGAAAGACUUUUCCCUUUGAAGUACAGCUUCUCUCUCAGGUGAUUUGUAACAUUCGAGGCAAAGCACGAGCGUUUGCCUGGUUCAUAAGCACAAGUCCCCGAGAACCUGCAGAGAUCACGUGGUGCAGUGAAAAGCUGGCGCAUGCCCAUAGAGGCGCGGCUUCUGCCACCAGCCGGCUCUACCCAGCUUCAGCGGCUCUGAGCUUUAUAGGCCCCUGCAGUUGGCUGCCCAAGUCUUAGAAGGUUGGUUGUGUGGAGCCUUUCGUGUAUCAGGAAAACUUCUUUUACACUCCAGAGUCGUCUGUCUCUGACCAAAUGAAAAUCACAGAGGAGACAGAUUUUAAAUGAGAGGAAACGAAGGGUUUAAACUGAGCUGAACACGAAUUCUAAGUAAAGAAGAAGGCUGUGAGCUUGAAACUGUGUGCUCUUUCUUAACCAUGGGAGCCCUGCUGAGCACCUUGGGAAAUGGCCAUUCUUAGGCCUGGUUUCACAACAUCACCAGGUCUUCCUAUGUUUCCAGCAUUGAGCGAGGCUCUGGAAUUGGGGAAGGAAUCACAAAAAUGCCCACGAUCUAGAGGCUGAGCUGGAGAAACAAACAAAAGUGCUGCGGACUGAUCAUUUCUGGAAGCAAGUUCUACAUAAAGGGAAGAGCUGCUGCAACUCUGACAUCCCUUCACGUGGUGAGAAUGUUUCUAGGAGCCUGGAUGCCCUGGCGGCUUCCGCAGGAGAGAGGUACGUGGUGACCCCAGUGUCAACAAAUGGAAUUCACACGGCAGAGAUGCUUGGACUUCAGAGGCCUGUCUCAGCUGGACUGGGCUCUAGCUCUGGCCAGAAGCUUGCCAGCCACAGGCCGAUGGAGUAUAUGGCAUAGGGUCUGGAAUGGGGGGAGGCCCAGGUUAAAAUCUCAGCUUUCAUACCUACGGGCUUUGUGACUUUAGUCUGUUUAUAGCCUCUUUAAGCUUCCAUGUUCAUAUCUGUAAAGUGAGGAUGAUGAUACCACUCACCUCCCAGCAUUGUUAUGAGGAUUAACAGAGAUAACACAUGUUAAGUGCUUAGUGUAGCCCUUAGCAUAUAGUAACUAUAUAAUGAAUGUUCACAAAAGAAAAAACAAAGCAAAACAAAAUGAAAUUCAGUCAGCCAAAUAACAACAAAAAUAGGACAAUAUGGGGCACCUGG